rnacentral:rRNA from 1 species
GACGAACGCUGGCGGCGUGCUUAACACAUGCAAGUCGAACGGAAAGGCCCUGCUUUUGUGGGGUGCUCGAGUGGCGAACGGGUGAGUAACACGUGAGUAACCUGCCCUUGACUUUGGGAUAACUUCAGGAAACUGGGGCUCAUACCGGAUAGGAGCUACUGCUGCAUGGUGGGGGUUGGAAAGUUUCGGCGGUUGGGGAUGGACUCGCGGCUUAUCAGCUUGUUGGUGAGGUAGUGGCUUACCAAGGCUUUGACGGGUAGCCGGCCUGAGAGGGUGACCGGCCACAUUGGGACUGAGAUACGGCCCAGACUCCUACGGGAGGCAGCAGUGGGGAAUAUUGCACAAUGGGCGGAAGUCUGAUGCAGCAACGCCGCGUGCGGGAUGACGGCCUUCGGGUGGUAAACCGCUUUCGCCGGUGACGAAGCGUGAGUGACGGUAAUGGGUAAAGAAGCACCGGCUAACUACGUG